AUCUACAGCCAUGCCACCCUGAACAAGCCUGAUCUUGGAAGCUAAGCAGGGUCAGGCCUGGUUAGUAUUUGGAUGGGAGACCACCUAGGAAGACCAGGUGCUGUAGGCA
rnacentral:rRNA from 1 species